rnacentral:lncRNA from 1 species
UUGGGAUCUUUGGGGGAGGGAUACUUUUUUUGUGAGUUACUUGUGGUUGAUAAACUUCUCUUUGUGAUCCAUAGUUAUAGUUUCUCUCUUGACAAUAAUAAGUGUGGUUCUAUGUGCUUUCAUGUAUGAAGUUGAUAAUCCUGCUAAUAAUCUUCCUAAUUUUUUGAUGAUAACAACACCAAUGACUGCUAAAGUCAGUGGUAAUAGAUUUCUAACUCUCUAAUACUGGUUACCAAACUUAAAGCCAUAUCAAGCCGCAUCUAGUAAGAGACUCAAG